rnacentral:tRNA from 1 species
GGGCGCGUAGCUCAGCUGGUUAGAGCACGUCACUGAUAAUGACGGGGUCGGAAGUUCAAAUCUUCCCGCGCCCA